UGAAUAUAGAUUUGUGAUCACCUUGACUAAGGGAUCGUAAGUUCAUGAUCACCAUUAGAGGCAACACGAGUGAGACGUCGGGAAGUCAAGCCGGUGCGGACGCUCGCCAAAAGGGAAAGCUCUAAGCUUUCAAGUAAGUCAAUCAAGCGGAUGGUGAUCAACACAAGACUUAUGAACCGAACACACUCAAGAAGAUGAUCUUCACUUUUGUCUUAGAAGUUCAUUUGUGAUAAUUUUUGUAAU
rnacentral:lncRNA from 1 species